rnacentral:rRNA from 1 species
CUUACACAUGCAAGUCGAGGGGUAACAGUUCCGGGUAACUGGAAGCUGACGACCGGCGCACGGGUGAGUAAUGCGUAUGCAACCUGCCCUUAACUGGAGGAUAGCUCCCGGAAACGGGAAUUAAUACUCCAUAAUGUUCUAAAAUCACAUGGUUUAAGAAUUAAAGCUCCGGCGGUUAAGGAUGGGCAUAUGUGACAUUAGUUUGUUGGUGAGGUAACGGCUCACCAAGACUACGAUGUCUAGGGGGUCUGAGAGGAUGAUCCCCACACUGGUACUGAGACACGGACCAGACUCCUACGGGAGGCAGCAGUGAGGAAUAUUGGUCAAUGGGCGCAAGCCUGAACCAGCCAUGCCGCGUGCAGGAUGACUGCCCUACGGGUUGUAAACUGCUUUUGUACGAGAAGAACCUUCCGAACGUGUUCGGGACUGACGGUAUCGUACGAAUAAGGAUCGGCUAACUCCGUGCCAGCAGCCGCGGUAAUACGGAGGAUCCAAGCGUUAUCCGGAUUCAUUGGGUUUAAAGGGUGCGCAGGCGGAAUAGUAAGUCAGUGGUGAAAUCCUGCAGCUUAACUGUAGAAUUGCCAUUGAUACUGCUAUUCUUGAGUAUAGUUGAGGUGGGCGGAAUGUGUAAUGUAGCGGUGAAAUGCAUAGAUAUUACACAGAACGCCAAUUGCGAAGGCAGCUCACUAAACUAUAACCGACGCUGAGGCACGAAAGCGUGGGGAGCGAACAGGAUUAGAUACCCUGGUAGUCCACGCUGUAAACGAUGAUCACUAGCUGUUGGCAAUACACAGUCAGCGGCUGAGCGAAAGCGUUAAGUGAUCCACAUGGGGAGUACGUCCGCAAGAAUGAAACUCAAAGGAAUUGACGGGGGCCCGCACAAGCGGUGGAACAUGUGGUUUAAUUCGAUGCUACGCGAGGAACCUUACCUGGGCUUAAAUGCAGGACGACGUUCCGGGAAACUGGAACUCCCUUCGGGGCGGACUGCACGGUGCUGCAUGGCUGUCGUCAGCUCGUGCCUUGAGGUGUCGGGUUAAGUCCCAUAACGAGCGCAACCCCUAUUGUUAGUUGCCAGCGAGUAAUGUCGGGGACUCUAACAAAACUGCCCGUGUAAGCGGGAGGAAGGUGGGGAUGACGUCAA